GAAACUUUAAAAAUAAUCAAUUUUCUUACCAGUGUGGAGAAUUUGGAGAUAGUGUAAAAUUACAUGCAAAAGGAGAAAAAGAGAUUAAAGCAACUGAAGUGUUUGGUGUGGGUUUAUUUACUUGAAGUUCAUUCAUGUUAACAAAAGUUGUAAAUAUAAUGAGGGACGAAACUAUUGAUGAAAGUGUGAAGGCAUGUGCCUCAUUAAUAUUUGAGCCUUACUCAUAUAUAUACACUAAUGUAUUUUGACAGUAGAUAUAAUUUUUUUUCCUGCAUUUCAAUGUGAAAAAGUUUAGAGAAAUAUUUGUGUAUUUAAAUGUUUAAAUUCUAUUGAUUUGUUUAUUGAAGGAGAAGAUUGGGUUUUCAUAUUAUAAGAAAAUCAGCAAAAAUUAAAAGUUGAUCAAAGUUGCUACAAAGUUUCUUUACAAUAUUUUUCAUACAAAUUAUUGUAUUUUUUACCAAGUGUAUGAUGAUUCUUUAUCGGUAAGAAAGUGUUGUACUUAUUACAAGUUGUUGUAAAUAUAAAAACUUGUUUUUCUAUUUGUUGGAAAGGUCAUUUGAAUCAGGAUGAUUCAAAUUCCACCAUAAUUGUUGGUGUUAAGAAAUCAAGGAAAUAGUGUGCUUCUUUGUUAUUGUUAUUGUUAUUGUUAUUGUUAUUGUAAGAGAAAUAGACUUGUACAAAAAUCUGACAAUAGUGAAAUAUUUUAUGGGAUGUAAGGGGUCUAGAUGCACUCUUGAUUGAAAAGGGGAACUAGUAUAACUCCUUGUGUUAUUUACUUUUUUUUCACUUUAGUUUUAUGUUUCUUAUUCAUUCAUAUGUUCAUAAUUUUGAAAAAUUUCAAUAAACCAUAAAAGUUCUUUAAAUCUCUACAAAAAAACCAUUAAAUCUAAUCCACCCCCUUCUAAGGUUGUGCACAAAAAAUACUAACAUUUAGCAUUAUAGCAGGUUAUAUAGGUAACUUGUUCCUAAAAUUCAGAAGAUGGCUUCCACAAAUCUAAUUUUUAGAGAUUGCGGUAGUAACAAUAAGCCUCAGUUGUUUUGUGCCGAGUCUUAUGAUUUUUGGAAGAUCCACAUGAGAGCAUAUCUUGAGGCACAAGGCGAUAAUAUUUGGGAUGUUGUAGAAAAUGGUUUGUUCAUUCCCACAAAUGUGGUCAAUGGCGUUGGUACAUACAAGAUCAAAAGUGCUUGGAUGAAGAUGAUAAGAAAAAAAUUCUCUAUGACGAGAAGACGAAGAACAUGCUUCAUUCUCAACUGGAAUGGAUGAGUUCUUUCGUAUUUCUCAAUGCAAAACAACGAAAGAAAUAUGAGAUACGUUAGAAGUCACUCAUGAAGAAACCGUGGAAGUGAAAAGAUAAAAAAUGAACACCUUAUCUAAAGAAUACGAAAUGUUUAGGAUGCAACCCCGAGAAUCAAUUCUUGAUCUGAAGAAAAGACUCACACACUUGACUAACAACUUAAUGGUGUAACACCCUGAAAUUUGAUUAAUCUAUUUAAUCAAAUUUUUUGUAUUUUUAUUUAAUUAUUUAGUAUGUGGUACUUUGUUAAUUAAAUAUAUUAUGAUUCUCGCUAUGCAGGGGUAUAACAACAACUUGAUGGCCCUCGUUAUGUGUACCACGUUGAUGAUUCUUCAUAUGGAGAGGAUGAAAAGCAUGAGGAAAUCAAGGGCAUGAAAGAGAGCUACAUGGUGCUCGAGAAGAUGUUGAGAGCCAUCGAAAGGGAUCAGGUCUUUGGUGCCGCCGCCAAAUAAAUGUGCUUAGUGCAUGGUCUAGUGAUCCAUGCAAAGUUAAAAACCUUGAAUUUGACAAAUAUAAGGGUCACUAUUUCCCCAAGAGCCAUAUCUGAAUGUAUUAUUGAAAGAUGGUCGCACAUGUUGAAAACGACAAGUUGAUGAUACACUAUUUCCAAGACAGUCUGAGCGAUGCAUCUUCUAAAUGGUACUUGAGUCUUAACCAAAGCAGAAUCUGAUGCUUCCAAGACCUACCUAACUCAUUUAUCAAACACUACAAGUAUAAUAUGGAUAUGGCACCAAAUAAAAGGCAAUUGCACAACAUGUCUUGUUAAACGAUAUGCCUAGAUCUAGAAGGCGGAAGGAGGGGGGGGGUGAAUAGAUUACAAGUUUAAAACUUGAAUCAAAAUUGGUUUUGAAAAAGUUUAUAGCGCGAAAGCAAGUUUCAAAAUUUUCCCGAUAAAAAAUCGUCUAGCCGAACUACUAUCAAAAGCUCGGAUAGCGUAGAGGUGUCAAUACAAUAAAAUAAUCCACAAGUCAAUAAACAAUAACUAAUCACAACUAGUUGAAGUAUAUAAUAUAUUUUACAUAUAGAGAGAGAGAGAGAGAGAGAGAGUGAGAGAGAGAAUACGCAAGGAUUUAUUUAGGCAGUUCCCUAAUCGACCUUGCUAUGGGUACGUAUGCCCUCAAUUCGAAUUCGAAUUGAGAUAUUAUAAUAAAUCUUACUUUGCAAAAUGCGUGUAUACAAGACAUAAAGAAAUUGAACUCUACAAACUCUAAGUAAGAAGACUCUUGAUUAUUGUCUUGGUUAAAUUCUUUUUUAAGAACCUCCAAAGCUUUGGAUGGAUGAUCUUCUCGAAAGAAGGCCCUCGUUCAUUUUUGUAUUGGAUGAAUUCCCUGUUAGGAAUCACUAAAAUCUUUGAUUGGAUGAAUUUCUAGUAAAAAAUCUCUAGAACUGUCACACAAAUUCUAAGGUGUCGUCAGGUCAUGUCUGAACUUGUUGAUAAAACUUUAUGAGAAUAUUAUAAAGUGUUGUCAGGUUAUGUCUAAACCUGUUGAUAAAACUCUCUUUGAAUAUUUCCCAUUGUUGUCAGUUCAUGUCUGAACCUAUUGAUAAAACCCCUUUGCAAUUCCCUAGUGUCUUUGCUCCAGCAAGAUUGUUAUCCCCAGUGAGUUUUCACCCUCAUUUUUGUUUCCUGUGGGCCAUCAUUACCAUAUGUAUCCAUCAUUCCCCACAUUUCUGUCUGUCUUUUAUUCGUCCAUUAUGAAAGCAUCCUACUAGGGUUCAUUUCAUAUCCUUAGCAAAUAAAAAUGAAAAACUCUCGCAUCCAUGCAUAUCAUAUCAUGUCAUAUGCAUUUAGGAUCAAAAUCCGGGUCUUUUUAGUAUUUAACUAUCUCCCGCUGUGAUCAUAUGAAGAGUUAUUCUUCUUCAUAUUCUCUGGUUGAAGAUACUUAAAUAGGGGCAAUUGUCACACCCUAAAUCACCGAAUCGAUACAUACAUCAUAACUUUUGCAUCUCUACAUAUCAUAUCAUACAUUUCAUGCCACAUAAUGCCUAAAAUGCCAAUCAAAAUAAAAUUUUGAAAAUACAGAAAAAUCAGUUGAAUUGAUUGACAAAUGUAUGAGAAAUUAGUGGGUGGCAAAUUUCAAGAUCGAGCUUGCAAACGUUUGUUUUAUUUAUCUACGAUUCAUGUAGUUUAACCUGGCAUGCUCGUUUUAUUUUUUCGACUACUUUUCCAAUCACAUUUUGAUCAGCCUGAGCCUUUUCAAUAGGGAUUUUCCACUUCAAAAUAUAACAAAAACAUGUAUGUUUCUGAGAAGUUUAUUUUGCGCUGAUCAUUGUAGUGCAUUCAAUUUAUUUUUUCUGGCACUUUUGCGCGUCAUUCUAUUUUUAUUCUUUUAUCAAAGUGUUCGAAAUAAUAAAAUAGAAUUUUCUACCAUUUUAUUUUUAUCAUAUUUAUUUAAGAAGGUGUGAAUUUUAGUUGUUUUAAUUGAUUUAAUUAGAUUAAAAUUAAUUAAAGCUCCUAGAAUGGACAACUUUGGUAUUUUAAAUUAUGUGUACUUUUUUUUAUUUAAUUUGGAUCAUUGAUUCAAAUUAAUGGAAAGUCCAUAUUUAGUUAUCCAUGUGUAUUUUUUUUUAUCAUCCAAUUAAAGAAUAGCAAUUAAAUAAAUAGAUUAAUAAAAGUAAAAAAAAUCAAAAUAUCUCUCUCCCUCCCAUUUGUUGACAGCUUACGCCCAUUCAUUGGGAUUUUGGGAGCACAAAAUCUGAUUUUCCUUUCUCAUCCAAGGACACAUGGCAGAAAUUAUUUGGAGAAUUUGAAACUAAGAGGACCAAUCCAUGUCAGGCAACACUGGUUCAAUUGAUAAAAAGGGAGUAGAUGGAGAAAAAGAAAAGGACGGUGAAAAAAAUUGAGAAGAGAAUAUCCUAUAUUCCCUUUUCACAUGACCAUUUUUUCCUCUCUGAACCUUCAACAACCGGAAUCCCUUUUCUUUUAUCCCCUUUGUUUUGAAAACAAAAACAACUCUCAACUUUUUUCCUUUUCUUUCUUCUCCGAUCAUCAAUCUCAUCUUCAUAACUCACCCACCGCGGCCUCACCUCUUCCAUUUAGUUCAUCCACCAUCACAAUGCCAACAUACUCCCUUCAAGAGUUACACCUUUCAUCUCAUCUCUGACCGACCGCUGUGUCAGAUCCAAAGACUCACAAAGCAGAUUACCGAAAAAAAACCACCUUCGAUCCGCAACAACAUCAUCUUAUCCUUCUUCAUCAACCUUAAACUGUUUCACCUUAAAAUCUCAUCAUUACAUCCACACACACAAACAACAAACCAUCAGAUCUACCAUGAAUCUCCCUCCAUCGUGAGCUUGUUUAUGUCAUUCCUAACACAACCACAACCUCUUCUGUGGAGUAUGCAUCUCGUUCAUUGCAAGCCUUCAGCGGAAGCAUGUUCAGUGGUGGUGUAAAAAACUCUAUGAGCUUUCAACCUUGAUUGUUAAAUUUUAUCCAUACAUCGGACCAGGGCCGACCCAAUCAUAUCGGAGGCCUCGUUCUAAUUAUAAAAAUAGGCCCAAAUUUUAAAGAAAAUAUAAUUAUAAUAAAUAAAAAAAUAUAUCAAAAAUACAAUUAUGUAUUAAUUAAAAAUAAAUUUAAUUAUAAUUAUUUUGAAUUUUAAUCAAACUUGAUUUUUGUAUGUAUUGAGUUUUUAUCAUAAUAUUUAUUUCAAUUAUUGAGUUUUUUUAAUAAUAUUUUAUUUAUUUUUAUUAAUAUUUAUGAAAAAAAAUUAAAAAUUUCAAAAUUUGGGACCCUCUAAUAUUUGGGGCCCUGUGCUGCAACACAUGCUGCACUUGGACAGGGUCGGCCCUGCAUCGGACCACCGUAUAUGCACUAAGCAAACCCUUCUUGGAAAGCUAAUGAAAACGAAAGAAAAUCUAUUUCAAUACCUAUCCGAGCAUCACUUGCAGUUGUUGAGAGUGAAGGAAAGAGCAUUGAAUUUGUUGUGAUGACCAAAGAAUAUGAUAUGUGUCAACUAGAGGAUGACUAAAAUCAACAUCUUUGUUGUUGAGACUUAAGCAAGAAAAAGUUGUUGUUGAAACCGUAAUAACUCGUUCUCUACAAACGCAACUCAACUUUCGAUUUGUAAUAGUAACAAACUUUAAACUUAACUCUGUUUCGAAACGACUCGUUGGUUACACGUUCAUGUUGGUAUUGGUUGGUUUUCUGUUUUUGUUCCGAUUGUCUCCUGACUUUGGUUUAGUUGUUAUGUUUUUUUGCGUUUUCACAUUAUCGUUAGCUUCGAAUUUAUGCAUUUUGUUGUUUGGCUGCAGAUUUCGGUUCCAUUAUCUUAUUUUUCACGGUUUUUGGAUUAUUUGGUUUGUCGUUUGUUUUGGAUUAUUUUUAGCAUGGUAAAUACCUUUAUAAAUUUUGUAAAUAUAAUUUUUAGUUAUUUUUGUUAGUUUUGAUUACAUUACGUUAGUGGCGUUAAAUCAGACUCAGAUCCGCAGGUACGACAUCGUUCAUAUGUCGUUAGUCUUCCGAAUUUUCAUUUGAUACAUUGAUGACAUGCCGUGCGUUCACUUGUUGGUUUUCGGUUGCGUUUCGACGUUGUGUUUUAAACAUUUUAUUGCAUUACGUCAUGAUUCAUAUGCGGUAACUUUAAGUUACAUGACGUUAUGCUUUUGCGCGUUAGAAUUCAUUUUUUGCAUUGUGAAAUCGAUUUAGAUCCGUGGAUUCGACAAAUUCAUAUUGAUAAAAUAUACCUUGUUUUCGUUUGCUUUGUUUUGGUUGUGACAUUCGACCCGCAAAUUAAAUGUUGGAUUAUAUGUUAUAUGUUGUUGUAUUGUCGGAUUUCUCUCCAUAUAUCAAUUGUAUUUCGCCGCAUUAUGACCUUUUGCAUACAAUAUUCCAUUUGUUGUUGAUACACAUAAACCGACUUUGAGCAUAUUACUUAGAGUUUUACGUGCAUCUAUUGACUUUUUGUUUACUUUAAUUAAUGUUUGUGAGGUAUACUUGAUCACAGUUUGAUAUCGUUUGCAUUGCCAUCAUGUGAAUUAAUCCUCACUUUAUGUUUUCUUUGUUGAGUGUAUUCUACACCAUCUUGUAAUGAUAUGUUUCACGUUAGCAUUGUUUCGAUUCAUGAUAACUUACAACAAUCCAACAUUGUUAAGUUUAAAUCGAACUUGAAACCCUACAUUGGUAGCUUUGCACGUCUUUGCAUUAUGUGACAUUGAUUCACAUCCUCGCAUCAUGAUCUUGAUCCGUUCACAUUCGACUUGUGCUUUACUACUUUUGAUUCAAUAAUAAUGAACGUGUAUUGUGCCUAUGGUGUGUGUGUUGUUAUCUCCUAUCUUUUGGUUUACUCUUAGGCCUUAUUAUAAUGAGACCCUUCUUGGUGCAUGUACACUCACUUGCUUGCAUUUGUUUGUUUGAGUUUUUUUGCUUUAAUUGAUUCAUUAUCCCAUAUCCCCAUUCGACAAAUGUACCUUCAUUCCCAUGACGUGUAAUAAGUUUAUCACUUUAUUUUUUAUUGUCUGUUUUUUCUAACACAAGAAUAAAAUCAACCCCUUUUCAAAAAGAACAAAAAUAAAAACUCGACCCAACAUCGAGUAUUUUCUCCAAGACUAACCAUUUAAAACCCUUCUUUUCAAUUUGUUUCUACCAUUUCCAAUUUCUCGAACUCUUCACUUUCAAACCUUUUCAAACUCUCAAACCAUUAAAUCUCUUGCAAUCGUUAAUCAAAUGCUUAAUCCAACUUCAAGUCAUUUUUACAAUAAAAAUAAAAAACACGUAAUUCUUAUUAAACACUUUUCAAUAAAAUGGAUUAAAGAAACGGGGUGUAGUCCACGAGCUCCUGAGAGUUAGGAUCCGAGAUGUAGUUCUCGUCAAUCCAAACACUCAUCAUCCUCAAAUCAUUUCAAUACGCUUAAUAAACCUCGACUAGCUUCAAGUGCGCUUUCUCAAGAGAAACUUCAAUACAUCUAAGAAUAUCAAAACCCUUUUGCAAAUAAGAUAAAAAAAGGAACGUGGUGUAACCCACGAGCUCCCGAGAGUUAGGAACCGAGAUGUAGUUUUCGCCCUUCCGAACACUCUCAUCGUCCAAAAAUACUUUAAAUCAAUCAAACUCUUUUUUCACCAUUUUGUGAUUGAUCCUCAAACCUUUUUGUGUAAACGAAAGGUACUUUGUCUCAAGACGAUGCAAAAACAAUGUUUUGUCCACUUGAAUGUGUGAGUAAGCUUACGAUGUUGCCCACAAAUGUUGAUUUGUAAAUCCAUUAGACCGUGAUGCAAAUGUUCCCUUCUUCACUUGUUUUGGGUAGCCAACAAUGUUUUCAUCGAUUGAUACAAAGUAGCUGAUAACGCGAAAACACAUCAGAUAAUUGCCUUUACUUACACUCAGAAAUCACAUCAUUUCGAUUAAUAUCCCGAUUUUUGUGCAAGUAUUCGUGUUGUUUUUGUAGGUAUUUAAAUCUCCAUGCAUUAAAGAGCAAAAUGAAGAAAAGGAAGAAAAAGAAGAAGAAACAAGUAAAAAAGCAUAGAAAAACCAGAAGAACAGAAAAAGCAGAUUUUGUUGAUAUGACGAUCGCCACACAUUCAUGACGCUCGUCACGGCCUAGACUGUGACGACCGUCACAGGCCCAUGACGAGCGUCACACGGCCACAAACUGCGCUUUGAAGCAGUCAGCAACAGGCACCCAAAAGUGCCUAUAUUUCCUCCAACAAACUUUUCCCACGAUUUCCUACCCACGAUUUCCUCUCUCAAGACCAAGUGUUCCUUGAAUUCCUCAACUACCAAGACCUAAUGGACACUAUAUAAAGGACUCAAUUGGGAAAAAUUGGAGACGCCUACUUUGAUUUGACGCUCUGCAAUUUAAUUUAUAGUUUUUAGCAUUCAACAUUUUUCUUUCUUUUCCAGCAACCUUGUUUCCGUUGCCUUAUUGUAUUCGCCAUUCUUUUCAUAGUUUCCCUUUUUCAGUUAGUUUUUCAGUUAGCCAUAGUAGUAGUUUCCUACACUGGGGAACUACUACACCUUUGUUUAAUUUUAAGUAUUAAUCUGUAUUGAAGAAGCAAAGCCUACCGACUUGUGGAGGACUGCUCAAGUGCUCCAAGAAUCGUUAUACUAUGUACUUCGAUAUCCAGGUUUUUAUUGAAUUAUUAUUAUUGUUGCCUAUUUAUUGUUAUAAGCAUGUUUGCCGCUGAGUUAAUCUGUUUAUGCCUUGCGAUUGCCUUAAUUAAUAUGUCCGGCUAAACUACCGGUAUCGAUAUGUAGCAACUUAAUUUGAUGGGAUUUAAUAAUAACCGGUGAAAACCCUUUUUCUCAAAUAAACUUUUAGGCUGAAGUUUUUAAUAUGAAUUUAAUUAACUUUAUCACAAAAGCGUGAAAAGCUAUUUAAUACGAUUUUGCCACGAGAGUGGGAAAUUAACUAAGGUGAGAACCAACAAUCGCGAGAGCGUGAGGCUCGAGCUGGAUAGUAAAAAUUAGGCAUUGGGUUUAAAAACAGCGAGAGCACUUUAAAAACAAUUAGAAUUUAUUUAUUUUCAAAAAGUAAUUUUGACUUCAAAUGGGACAGCGAGAGCGUACGUUCUGACUUGAAGUUAUAGGCCAAAUCAACAACCACGAGAGUGUGAGAUAAAGUCUUUUAAAUAAACAUUUUCUACUGAGAGAUAUUUGACAUUUAAACUAUUCACCGGUGACUUAUCGAAUCCCUGACGAUUACUGCGCUGCAUACUGAUUCCUUCCUUUAAUUCUUUCUUAAAAUCGAAAAAUUCCCUUAGAUUUACUAUAUUACCCCCAAACUCUUACUAAUCUAUUCCGUUAGCUAAACAUAGUGACGUUAGUAGCACUAAUUUGACCAUAGGUCCCUGUGGGAUCGAUAUCUUUUAAAACUAAAGCGACUAGACUGUGCACUUGCAGACAAGUAUCCGACAGACUAUAUUUUAUAUAUAGCCACGAAAAGCAUCAUGUUUUUGGCGCCGUUGCCGGGGACCUGUUUUAGUCAAAUAGUGUGAUUCUUCCGUUGCAUGGUAUAGACUAAGAUAAAAACAAAAAAACUAAUCUUCUCUCCUUUUCUUUCCCUGAUUGUAUGCCAAGUACUCGCUCACAAGGCGAUAACUUAGCACCACCAAUCCCCGAAUUAGAGCGUUUCCUAUACGUGAGACGCCGAAUACAUGAAUAUCAACAAAAAUACGGUAUUCCCGAUAUCUCAUUUCCUCUUAAAUCAGAAGAAAAACCAAACAUGGCCGACGAAGUACCAUAGAAUCGUCCUCUCAAAUUCUACGCUACCCCAUCUCAACAAGAACCUCACAACAACAUUGUUGCCCCCGCUAUUAAUCGAAACGAUUUCGAGCUGAAACCCUCACUCUUAUCAGCCGUCCAACAACAUCAAUUUGCUGGAAAUCCAACAGAAGAUCCUAAUGAGCACCUGACCAAGUUUGUGCAGUACGCAGAUACUGUAAAGGCGAAUCGUGUAUCUUAAGAUGCGGUAAGAUUGCGCCUAUUUCCUUUCUCACUAAGAGACAGAGCUUGGGCUUGGUUGCAAUCCUUGCCCUCCAACUCCAUUACAACAUGGGAGGAGCUGAAGAACGUCUUCUUAUCCCGAUACUUUCCGCCGAGCAAAACUGCUAUGCUGAGAGCUCAAAUCAACGGAUUCAGGAAAAAAGAUUUGGAAUCUCUCUACGAAGCGUGGGAGAGAUACUAGGACAUGAUGAGGAUAUGUCCAUAUCACGGUCUAGAAGACUGGAUGAUCAUUCACACUUUUUAUAACGGGCUUCUAUACAACACAAGACUUACAAUAGACGCUGCCGCGGGCGGUGCACUUAUGGAUAAGUCAUACACCGAAGCCUAUCAACUCAUUGAAAACAUGGCCCAAAACCAUUGCCAAUGGGGAGGUGAACGAACUCCAGUGGAAAAAUCCCAGACUAAGGGUGGAAUGUACGAAAUCAGUAGCCUUGACCAAACUCAUUGAAAACAUGGCCCAAAACCAUUGCCAAUGGGGAGGUGAACGAACUCCAGUGGAAAAAUCCCAGACUAAGGGUGGAAUGUACGAAAUCAGUAGCCUUGACCAUGUUCAUGCAAAGGUAGAUCCCCUUGUCCAAAAAUUAGAUAACUUGACCAUACCACCCGCAGCCACCGUGGCUACUGUAACUCCAAACUGUGAGCUAUGUGGAAAUCCUGGACACACUGCACAAGAAUGUCAAAUAUUAGCAGGAGUCCCAACUGAUCAAGUGAACUACACACAAGGAAAUCCCUAUUCUAAUACUUACAACCCUGGUUGGAAAAACCAUCCCAAUUUCUCGUAUAAGAAUAACAAUGCCCUUUAUGCACCUGGCCAAACACCAGUUGUUCCGCCUGGAUAUCAAAAACCAGCCAAUAAUGCUCCUAACAUGCCUAGGAAGUCAAAUCUCAAGUUGAUGAUGGAAAGCUUCAUAGCUACUCAAGCUCAAACUUUGUUCCUGAAGAACUUGGUUUUGUAUGUAUGAUCGCUCGUUGAAUAACAACUAGCGAAUAAAGUAGACGCCUUAGCCACCCACAAUAAAAUGCUUGAAACACAGAUUUCACAAGUGGCUCAAUAUCAAGCAUCUACAGCCGCUCCAGCUGGAACAUUUCCUGGACAGCCGCAACCUAAUCCGAAGGGACAUGCAAAUGCCGUUAUAUUGAGAAGUGGAAAAGUAGUAGAUGGACCCGUAAAUCCGAGACUCCAAAACCCUGCCAUGUACCAAAAACCAGAUAAAACCUCAACUGAGCAGGUGAAUGAACCAAAGGAAACAGAAGAUACUACCCAGGAGGCCGAAGAGAAAGAGAAACCUUAUGUGCCUCCACCUCCUUAUAAACCACCCAUUCUGUAUCCUCAAAGACUCAAAAGUUCUAAAACUGUGAAUCAAUCUAGGAAAUUUGUUGAGCUUCUGAAGCAAUUAAACAUUACGAUACCCUUUACAGAAGCCAUCAUACAAAUGCCUUCCUAUGCCAAAUUUCUUAAGGAAAUCAUAUCCAAUAAGAAAAAGAUUGAGGAUGACGAAACAGUUACACUUACUGCCGAGUGUAGCGCCAUAAUCCAGAACAACAUGCCUCCCAAACUAAAAGAUCCGGGUAGUUUCUCCAUACCCUGUGUCAUUGGAAAGUUCGUCAUAGACAAAGCUCUAUGCGAUCUAGGAGCCAACAUUAGCGUAAUGCCCCUAACCAUUUGUAGAAGGCUCAGUAUAAGAGAGUUAAGACCGACAAAGAUGUCCGUUCAAUUAGCUGACCGCUCGAUUAAAUAUCCUGUUGGUAUACUUGAGAAUGUCCCAGUUCGUGUAGGUCAAUUUUACAUUCCUACCGACUUCAUAAUCAUGGACAUUAAAGAAGAUGCCAGUACACCUAUCAUUCUAGGAAGGCCAUUCUUGGCUACCGCCGGAGCCAUCAUAGACGUAAAGAGAGGUAAGCUGACAUUCGAAGUUGGAGAGGAAAAACACCUAUCAUUCUAGGAAGGCCAUUCUUGGCUACCGCCGGAGCCAUCAUAGACGUAAAGAGAGGUAAGCUGACAUUCGAAGUUGGAGAGGAAAAGGUUGAAUUCAUCUUAACCCAAUUCUUACAAGUGCCAGCUAUAGACGACACCAGCUAUCUGCUUGAUGUCAUAGACAAAUGCGUGAGAGAGAUGGAGAUGGAAGAAACCACGUAUUCUGAAAUAAUGAAAACCCAAAUCCCUCAAAUCCUUGAAGACAAUAAUUGGCAUGAACUGUACCAAAACGAAAGUCUAAGCGAAUGCUUAGCACUUACACCCGACCACAUGCCAUGCCCAAAGAAACCUGACUUGGAAUUAAAAACACUACCAAAGAACCUAAGAUAUGAAUUCCUAGACGCUGAACUGAAAAGACCAGUAAUAGUCAAUGCUGACUUAGGACAGAUGGAAACCGAGAAAUUAUUAGAUGUCCUAAGAAAGUAUCCAACAGCGUUAGGAUAUAACAUCGCCGAUCUAAAAGGAAUAAGUCCUUCGAUCUGUAUGCAUCGUAUUAUGCUGGAGGAAGACUCUAAAACCUCUAGAGAGCACCAGAGAAGGAUCAACCCAAUUCUAAGUACCGUAGUCAAGGAUGAAGUAAAGAAACUUCUAGACGCAGGAAUCAUAUACCCAAUCUCAGAUAGUCAAUGGGUUAGCCCCGUUCAUGUAGUACCCAAAAAAGGAGGUGUUACAGUUGUUAAGAACGAGAAGGGCGAAUCCAUAACACAAAGAGUGGUGACCGGAAGUAGAAUGUGUAUUGACUAUAGAAAACUGAAUAAAGCCACUCGUAAAGAUCAUUUCCCUCUACCUUUCAUAGAUCAAAUGCUUGAACGACUGGCUAAGCAUUCUCACUUCUGCUAUCUAAACGGUUAUUCAGGAUUCUUUCAAAUCCCAAUCCAUCCUGACGACCAAGAAAAUACUACCUUCACAUGCCCGUAUGGUACAUUCGCCUACCGACGAAUGCCAUUUGGCCUAUGUAACGCUCCCACAACAUUCCAAAGAUGCAUGAUGGCAAUCUUUACAGAUUUUAUAGAUGACAUCAUGGAAGUCUUCAUGGAUGAUUUUUCUGUUUGCGGUCAGAGUUUUGAAGGAUGUCUAUCUAACCUCGAAAUGGUACUCGAAAGAUGCGUAAAAGUAAACCUCGUACUAAACUGGGAGAAAUGCCAUUUUAUGGUUCAACAAGGAAUUGUAUUAGGUCACGUGGUAUCUGAUAGAGGAAUCGAAGUGGACAAAGCUAAAAUCGAAAUUAUAGAGAACCUUCAACCUCCGAAAACCGUUCGGGAGAUAAGAAGCUUUCUAGGACACGCCGAUUUCUACCGACGUUUUAUUAAAGAUUUCUCAAAAAUAACCAAACCACUUACAGGAUUAUUAAUGAAGGACGCUGACUUCAUAUUUGAUGAAAAAUGCUUAACAACAUUCAAUCAACUGAAAACAUCUUUAAUCACCGCACCCAUAAUGCAACCACCUGACUGGAGAUUACCAUUUGAAAUCAUGUGCGAUACGAGUGAUUACGCAGUGGGUGUAGUACUAGGACAAAGGAAGGAUAAGAAGCUUCAUGCUAUUUACUAUGCGAGUAUAACACUUGAUCCUGCCCAAAUGAACUACGCCACCACUGAGAAAGAACUUCUAGCUGUCGUGUUCGCAUUGGACAAAUUUCGUUCCUACCUGGUGGGGGCGAAAAUUAUCAUCUAUACCGACCACGUUGCUAUUAGAUAUUUGUUAAGUAAGAAGGAUGUCAAACCAAGACUUUUAAGAUGGAUCUUGCUCUUACAAGAGUUUGAUUUAGAAAUAAAAGAUAAGAAAGGUACUGAGAACGUAGUAGCAGACCACUUAUCUCGUAUCGAAGGGAACAAGCCUGAACAAAUCCCACUUAAUGACGAUUUCCCUUACGAACGACUCAUAGCCCAAAUGGAAAGUGAUAUGUCUGAACUGACAUUAAGCGAUACAGAAAUAGAAGAAUCCAUGGAAGAAGUACACGCAAAUGCAACUCUGCCAUGGUACGCUGACUUCGUCAACUACCUAGCCGUCGGAGUACUUCCGCCGGACCUAUCUUAUCAACAAAAGAAGAAGUUCUUUCAUGACCUAAAACAGUAUUACUGGGAUGAACCCCUUCUUUUCAAAAGAGGGACCGACGGUAUUUUCCGUCGAUGUGUUCCUGAGGAUGAAAUCGAAGAUAUAAUCUCUAAUUGCCAUUCCGCCCCCUAUGGAGGGCAUGCAAGUACCUCAAAGACCUGCACUAAGAUCCUGCAAUCCGGCCUAUUUUGGCCUACCCUAUGGAAAGACAUCCAUAACGCGGUUAUAAAAUGCGAUCGGUGCCAACGCACUGGCAACAUCUCAAGACGCGAUGAAAUGCCACAAACAAGAAUCUUAGAAGUCGAAGUCUUUGACGUAUGGGGGAUUGACUUCAUGGGACCCUUCCCAGCUUCUUUUGGUAAUAAAUACAUACUCGUUGUUGUCGACUAUGUCUCAAAAUGGAUCGAGGUUGUAGCCUCUCCAACAAAUGACACACGAGUAGUAAUCAAGCUAUUCAAAAAUAUUAUCUUUCCCAGAUUUGGUGUGCCGAGAAUAGUAGUUAGUGAUGGUGGCUCCCACUUCAUAUCGAAUAUAUUUGGAAAACUCCUCCUGAAGUACGGAGUACGACACCACGUAGCAACACCGUAUCAUCUACAAACUAGCGGGCAAGUCAAAGUCUCAAAUCGAGAAAUAAAACAAAUUCUUGAGAAAAUCGUAGGAACAUCCAGAAAGGACCGGACGGCUUACAAAACCCCGAUAGGAACCACACCCUUCAAACUAGUUUAUGGUAAAUCAUUCCACCUCCCUGUAGAACUGGAACAUAAAGCGUAUUGGGCAAUUAAAACCCUUAACAUCAACUACACUUCCGCAGGCGAGAAACAGAUUCUGGACAUCCACGAAUUAGAAGAGCUCCGGUUGGACGCUUACGAGAAUGCCAGGAUCUACAAAGAACGAACCAAAAGAUGGCAUGACAAACGCAUCUCUAGGAAGGAGUUUAAAGUCGGCGACGUAGUGCUGCUAUUUAAUUCAAGACUUAAACUCUAGACGCUUACGAGAAUGCCAGGAUCUACAAAGAACGAACCAAAAGAUGGCAUGACAAACGCAUCUCUAGGAAGGAGUUUAAAGUCGGCGACGUAGUGCUGCUAUUUAAUUCAAGACUUAAACUCUUUCUAGGAAAACUCAAAUCUCGCUGGUCUGGCCCUUUCGAGAUCACCAAGGUUCUAACUAGUGGUGCGAUAGAGAUAAAAGGUAGAAAUAGUGACCCUUUCAUAGUAAACGGGCAGCGCCUAAAGCAUUAUCAUAAUACAGAAAACAGAGACUAUUCGAACAGUCUCAGACUCAUAGAGCUGCCCGCUCAACCCUAAACCUAGUACAACACGACACUACUGUCGAACUUCUGACAUUAAACAAAGUGCUUAGUGGGAGACAACCCACCUUAUUUCUUUUCGUUAUUUUUCUUACUAUCUAGUUUCUCCUUUCUUUACUUUUUCUUUGUUAUUUUUGUUUGCUCCCCCUUCUUGAUUCUUUGCAGUCACUCUUGCUGUUUCUAGUAACUAACUUAGCUAUAUUGGAUACUGACUAACAGGAAAAUUACUAAUUAGUUAGUUAAUUACAUUCAUCAUGCAACAACCAGAGACAAUUUUUAGAGGUCGAGUUCAACGCAAGCGAUAUGAUUAUCUAGCCAGGAAGAAUAUGGCAUUGACCAUAUAUUAUGAUGGACCGACCAUGGAUAAAUUAGGCAUCCGAGAUAGCAUCCUAUAUAUGUUUAACCAGCUGGGGUGGGAGAACGCAACCAUUAAGAGACGGUUUGUCACGUACGCCGUGAGCUAACCUUAGAAUUCCUGAGUUCCCUUGUAUACAUCCCUGAACAUGGGGGUUCGACAGGACUUAACAAGGGUUAAAUAUCCUUUAGGUUAUUAUUUUAGCAUGGACUUCACCUACACCCGUCGAGACCUUGCUGACCUCUUAGGAUUCCCUAGCGGCCCUUUCGUCUUUACUACCCGCCAGGAGGACCUUAUCGAUGACAUUAAUCUCGAUGACUUCUGGGGUUGCAUAUCUGGAGAAUCCAACCCAAACCCGAAUGAGACGCACUCACAAAAGAUCCAUAACCCUGCUAUCCGCUAUUUUCAUACUAGCCCACACCUUAUUUGGUAAGGCAGAGAAUAACACAUUAGUGUCCCGAGAUGAACUCUUCAUCCUGCUAUGUGUCGAUCAAGGUCGACACGUCAAUAUAGUAUCAUUCAUGAUGGAAAGAUUUGUCCACCUUGCUAAGAAUAAUCAUACCCCACUAAUCAUAGGAGGCCUAGUUACCAUGAUAGAAGACGCUAUAGGACUUGUACGCCCACUUUAUGAGCUUAUACCUUUUGGAAACAUCCGCCCAAUGGAUAUCGACUUUUGCUUUAACCGCAGAAUCAUAGGUAACAUACCCUGCCUAUGGAAACUAAUAGAUUAGUCAUUACUUCACCUUCGACUUUUCACCUUGCCUAACCAUGAGAAAACGAGUGUUCACAACCGAGAUAACUGGCUCUAUGACUUAGAGGAACACCCUAUCAAUCCACCUUCACCUCCCACUACACCGCCCAAAUAUGAGUGUGUUAAUGACCCUAUCCUUAAGGAAGAAUCUGACCCUGAAACACCUCCCAACUAUUAUAACAUCGCUGAACCGGUUCCUCAUUCUUGUGCUGAUAAUCAUGCCAUGCUCAUCACCCGUCUGAAUACUUUCCAAGCUGACAUCACCAUUGUGAAAGAAGAGAUAAAGCUCAUACGCUUUGAUGUCCUAUGCCUGAUGGAUAUAGCCGUUGAGCAGUUUCAUUAUCUGAACGAAGCUGUUGCUGCAUUGGGACAAAAACGUGGCUGAAAUUUCUGACCACUGAUUUCUCCUACUCGCACUAAGCAAUGAGGACACUGCUUUGUUUUGUGUGGGGAGGAGCACUUUUAUUUAUUGCAUUACUUUUGUUCUAUUGUUUUCAUUUGCUAUGUUAUCGCUACAUUUUUUUUCUAUGAUACAUCCAAUUUCAAUUUAUUAAUUCAAUUGUUAUUUAUUUAAUUAAGCUUAUUUCAUCUAUUUAUUUAUUUCUGCAUUUAGCUAUUAAAUUCAUAUUGCUUAGCUAUUAUUUAUGCUGCUAUUCUGCUGUGUUCUUCUGUGUUGAGAUUUUUUUUGAACUUAGCGUGUGACGACCGUCACUAUAGGGUGACGUUCGUCUCACAGACGUGACGACCGUCACGAAUCUGGAACGAUCGUCACACACAUGAAAGUGACCGUUACGAGCAAGUGACCGUUGCAGACGACCGUUACGCAUCCGCUGCUCGUGACGACUGUCACACCCCUAUGACGACCGUCACAAAUUCUAGAGAGCUCGCCUAUAAAAGCAGACACUUUUUCUCCCUUUUCUCCUCACCAAUAUUCGCUCUCCUAUAUUCUGAUCAUCAUCUAUUCAAUUCUUCACUAUUUUUCUGCGAGCGCAUAACUCACAAACCUUCCACCUCACCCACCAAUACCAAAAGUUUCAUCCAACUCAUCAAAUGGCCCGUCAAGAAAGAGGCACUCCCGACCUAUCAACCGUCACAUUCCGUGAUGGAGAAGCCGGCGAAUGCCAAAGGAGCAACUACCUCUAAUUCUAUCAACGCUCCGUUUAAGCCACGAGGUAUGUGGAUCAUGAAUGCCUAAGGGAAUUAGGACUUUUGGAGGGUGUGGAAUGGAUGCUAGCUGCCUCCAGCUUGACGCAACUCUGUACAACACCGCAGCCAACCUACGAAGCAUUGACCCUGGAAUUUCUAAGUUCCUACUCUUACAUCAUUCCACCUGGUGCUACCAAAUAUCUCACCGGUGUAGCCAUAUUCAGAAUGUUCGGCAUCGAGUAUUCCCUUAAUCAAAUCUUGAUUGCAAGAAUGCUUGGUUUCCGACAUGGAGAAGGAAUCCAUUGCUGCAUUCCAGAAGGAUGGUCUGAUAUAGCAUUCCAAGUUUGGCACAACCUCACCCACAUGAACGCAACGAGCUGGGAUACGCUUAACGCAACCUACAUCCACAACCCGACCAUCAGAUACUUUCACAGAGUCCUGGGGCACACAAUUUUUGGAAGAGUCAGCAACCACAAGGUAAACUCUAAGGAACUUUUCCUUCUUCACUGUGUGUUUGCCCAAAUUGCGUUCAAUGUUACUCUGUUCCUACUAGCCAACAUCCAGGCUGCUUGCAUGAGAGGCAGCCAAGCGUUUUGUUAUGGGGGAAUUAUCACCUCCAUAGCAUUGGGCUUGAACCUGGGAGAUAGGCUAGCCAACUUACCAGCCCUGGAAGCCGAAUUCCUCGACAUCGACUACUGUCGUGCCUCACACCUAAUUAAAGCAAGAGAUGAUGGGAAGUAUCAUCCUGUUGUCAGAAACAAGACGGUAAAGAGCAUCAUCAUGCCCAACAGGAACCGCACAGAUCCAUGAGAAAUGACAAAUUGGACCUUUGAUCUGGAGGCCCCCGAGCCAACUGAUGGAAAUCCUGGUAAUGGUACAGAUGAAGUCGAAGAAGAGCUUGAUAGAGGCAUGCCCCAACCAUCUCAAGAGCACGCUGUAGAGACCUCCUCCCGAGGACAAAGAAGAAGCGAACGAAGACCCGCCUCCAUGGAAAACAUCUACGCCGAGAUGUUGAGACACAACCAAAUCAUGGAAGACCGCCAAACUGAAAUGAUGCAAGCAAUCCAGCAAAUGCAGCGGGAUCAACACGAUCAUGCUCACUGGCAUGGUCAGGGGAUGGCGGAACUUUCAGACCAGAUGAGUGCCCUGACAUAUCGCGUAGAUGCCAUCCAGGAGUACACUCAGCACGUAGGAUUGGAUCCUACCCAGCGAGGACGAGGUGAGCGCGCAAGAGCAAGAGCCAAAGCACGAAGAAGCCAACCGCGUAAUGAUGAGCAGUGAUUUUUUUGUUUCUUUUCCUUUUUUUUACUUAUGUAUACUGUCGCAUUGAGGACAAUGCAAUUUUCAAAUGUGGGAGGAAAUCCUUAUCACUCCUCUACUUGUUUCUAUUGCUAAUGUUUUCAGCCAAUACAAAAAUUUUUGCUUGUCCUUUUUCAAUCAUUUACACAUAUUUUGGCAUAACAAAAAUUUUCCUUAAAAUUAAAUGCAUACCCUAUAAGUACAUAGGUUGUCCCGAGGAGGCUUUGUCAGGAAAACCGAGAAAGAUGUAACAAGAUUGAUACCGUCCCGACACCCUAGACCCCCUAUUUCUACGAGAUCAGUUUGAAUAACCAUUAUACCGACACCUUAAGUCUCCAUUCUAGAUUAACCCCUAGUAGUUUAUACUAGCAGUCAGCACCGUCUCAAGCGCAAACCACGUGGAGAGCCGGUGACCAUUAUACCGACACCUUAAGUCUCCAUUCUAGAUUAACCCCUAGUAGUUUAUACUAGCAGUCAGCACCGUCUCAAGCGCAAACCACGUGGAGAGCCGGUGAAUAUAAGUGUUUGAUGCCUACAAAUCAAGAAACUCCUUCAUACUGUUGCUAUCAAGAAAUUGAUAAAAAGAACCAUUACAAAAGGUUGUAAAGUUAUGCAAAAAGAAGGAAUAAAAACCCCAGUUGGUUGGUCCAGAGGUACCUGGUACUGGACUCGGUAGGGCGAACUACGGUUCGAUCCCCUACAACCUUCAAAUGGGAUAUAUAAAGGGGUACCACACUAGUGUACCAGACCCCCAUGCUAAGAAAAGGAUCAAAGUCACUAACCGGCUACUUCACUAAGUGCGUGCGGAGGCAAAAGGCUUAAUGUGAUUGCGCUAGAAUGAAACCGGGUGAAAUAGAAAUAGAGACACUAGGUCGAGCUAUAAUAGCAUGAUUCGAACUGGCUUGUGUAAAGGAGAGAUCUAUGAUAAAGCUGAAAGCUCGUGUCAUCACAGUAUCUUUGGUGUUUCACUCAAUAUCGGACAUCCUAACGAGCUAUAAUAGCAUGAUUCGAACUGGCUUGUGUAAAGGAGAGAUCUAUGAUAAAGCUGAAAGCUCGUGUCAUCACAGUAUCUUUGGUGUUUCACUCAAUAUCGGACAUCCUAACAAUCCACCUGAUAACCACGUAUGAACAGGUAGUGUAUCUGCGCUUAAAUUCUAUUUUUCAAAUUGUGUUUGCUUGAGGACAAGCAAAGAUUCAAGUUUAGGGGAGUUUGAUAACGCGAAAACACAUAAGAUAAUUGCCUUUACUUACACUCAGAAAUCACAUCAUUUCGAUUAAUAUCCCGAUUUUUGCGCAAGUAUUCAUGUUGUUUUUGCAGGUAUUUAAAUCUCCAUGCAUUAAAGAGCAAAAUGAAGAAAAGGAAGAAAAAGAAGAAGAAACAAGUAAAAAAGCAUAGAAAAACCAAAAGAACAGAAAAAGCAGAUUUUGCUGAUAUGACGAUCGCCACACAUUCAUGACUGUUAGUUGUAAUUUUAAGUGUCGGGUUUUUGUUAUCGUAUCCACAGGGAUUGUAAGAUAUCACCGCCGUUCGAUGGUUGUAUUAAUUCUAGCUUUAGGUAACAAUAGGGUUUUGGUUGUUGUCACGUUAUCUUGCAUAAAAUGUAAUAAAAUGCGGUAAAAAUUAUGGUUUGAAUAUUUGAGAAUAUUGCCAAAGUUAGGGUUCAACGAUCACUUUGCAUGUAUUUGUUGCUCAACAAUCUUAUCAACUUCUUUAGAUGAUAAAUUAUUUCACAAAGUCCUCCCAAUGUGUUUCUCUCGAACACACAUUGUGAGUUUUCCCAUUUUGAUCCAUUGUUUAUCUCUAACACAAUCUAUCAAAAUGACAACUUUUUGGUUCAACCUUAUGGUGAACAAAAUCAUUCAUUACUAUCUCUAGCUAACAAACAAGAUUGGAUGAAAACCUAGGUUAAGAGUUGGUAACAUCUCUUCGAUCAUAAACCAACACAAAGAGUUUUGAAUAAGAACAAAGUUUUCAUCAUAGAUUCACCAUUAAAGAGUUUACAAAUGAAGAUCCUUACAUUUACACACAAAGCUAAUGAUCAUCUACAUCUAACCUUGACAAAUGAGGACUUAGCUACUCAUUUUCAUGGUAGCUUGGUCGGCAAGUUUCGGAAGAAGGUUGAUCAACAUCCAAGUCGAAUAAUCAGAUUGGAUGGGAAUCCACCUUCUUUUUGUAAAAGAUGGUUAAAAGUGAAGAGAAAUGAAAUCUAGGUCAAAAAGAUCUCUAGAGCAAAAGCUGGAAAAUAUCUAGAAAAGUACAAAAGUAUGAAAAGAUGAAGUAUGGCUCUCAAAGUGGCACUUGCUACUUAUAGUGUUGUUCUGGGCUGUCAUGCUCGCUAGGCGAGCAGACUGCUUCGCCUAGCGAGCCCCAAAAUAAGGCACCUGAGGCAUCUGCGCCCAGAGAAACAGCCUUUCCCAGACUGUCAUGUUCGCCUAGCGAACAAAACCUUCGCCUCACGCUUCAACCUUCGCUCCAGCGAGGUUGAGAGGUUUUGCUAUGGAAUCCUCGCUGGGAACUCGCUAGAGCCUCGCCUAACGAGUGAGUGCUGGCUGCGCUUUUACCAAGUCUGGAAGUGUUCGCUACCCACCUUGCUAGGCAGCUCGCCUAGCGAGUUUGGUCAUGUUUGCCACUGUAAAUUACUGGAGCAUUUCGCUGGACUCUCGCUGGACGCUCGCCUAGCGAGUGUUCGCCACAGCCCUCGCCUAGCGAGUAAGCUGAUGAAUGCUUGUUUGAUUUGAUCCCUUUGCCAAAAUUUCUUGUGUCUUCACUUUCUUAUUAUUUCAUGCUACUUCCUGCACAAUAAACACAAAUCAAGAGGUACCAAGAUCGUUUAUCAUUGAAUUGCAUUUCAUCUAAAACAAGGGUGGUUUUGAACAUUUUAGCAAGGAAAUAGAGUGAAAGAUACCCAUAUUUGAUAGCUCAAAUUAGCACUUUUGGGUAUCUAACAAUGACGCUCGUCACGACCCAGACUGUGACGACCGUCACAGGCCCAUGACGAGCGUCACACGGCCACAAACUGCGCUUUGAAGCAGUCAACAACAGGCACCCAAAAGUGCCUAUAAUUCCUCCAACAAACUUUUCCCAUGAUUUCCUCUCUCAAGACCAAGUGUUCCUUGAAUUCCUCAACUACCAAGACCUAAUGGACACUAUAUAAAUGACUCAAUUGGGAAAAAUUUGGGACGCCUAUUUUGAUUUGAUGCUCUGCAAUUUAAUUUCCAGUUUUUAGCAUUCAGCACUUUUCUUUCUUUUCCAGCAACCUUGUUUCCGUUGCCUUAUUGUAUUCACCAUUCUUUUCAUAGUUUCCCUUUUUCAGUUAGCCAUUGUAGUAGCUUCCUACACUGGGGAACUACUACACCUUUGUUUAAUUUUAAGUAGUAAUCUGUAUUGAAGAAGCAAAGCUUACCGACUUGUGGAGGACUGCUCAAGUGUUCCAAGAAUCGCUAUACUCUAUACUUCGAUAUCCAGGUUUUUAUUGAAUUAUUAUUAUUGUUGCCCAUUUAUUGUUAUAAGCAUGUUUGUUGCUGAGUUAAUCUGUUUAUGCCUUGCGAUUGCCUUAAUUAAUAUGUCCGACUAAACUACCGGUAUCGGUAUGUAGCAACUUAAUUUGAUGAGAUUUAAUAAUAACUGGUGAAAACCCUUUUUCUCAAAUAACCUUUUAGGUUGAAGUUUUUAAUAUGAAUUUAAUUAACUUUAUCACAAAAGCGUGAAAAGCUAUUUAAUACGAUUUUGCCACGAGAGUGGAAAAUUAACUAAGGUGAGAACCAACAAUCGCGAGAGCGUGAGGCUCGAGCUGGAUAAUAAAAAUUAGGCAUUGGGUUUAAAAAUAGCGAGAGCACUUUAAAAACAAUUAGAAUUUAUUUAUUUUCAAAAAGUAAUUUUGACUUCAAAUGGGACAGCGAGAGCGUACGUUCUGACUUAAAGUUAUAGGCCAAAUCAACAACCACGAGAGUGUGAGAUAAAGUCUUUUAAAUAAACAUUUUCUACUGAGAGAUAUUUGACAUUUAAACUAUUCACCGGUGACUUAUCGAAUCCCUGACGAUUACUGCGCUGCAUACUGAUUCCUUCCUUUAAUUCUUUCUUAAAACCGAAAAUUUCCCUUAGAUUUACUAUAUUACCCCCAAACUCUUACUAAUCUAUUCCGUUAGCUAAACAUAGUGACGUUAGUAGCACUAAUUUGACCAUAGGUCCCUGUGGGAUCGAUAUCUUUUAAAACUAAAGCGACUAGACUGUGCACUUGCAGUCAAGUACCCGACAAACUAUAUUUUAUAUAUAGCCACGAAAAGCAUCAAUAGCUUUCUCUAAAAUCGACCAACAAACAAACAUUUUCUACCCAGAACUACGUAAGCCUUGAGUUCUCUAUUGCAUCUGGACAUACGUGGGAGCAAGAUUUGUAAAUCUUGUCAGGAACAUUAAUAAAAAAUCCAAAAUCAUUUUUUAUUUUCUUUUGGUCCUAUUCUUUUUUCCCUCUUAAUAACUCGAGAGGCCUAAUAUUUCUAAACUAACACUUACACGCAUAACUAACCAAAUGGUUCUCGUUGAGUACAACAGACGUGAGGGGUGCUAAUACCUUUCUUUUGCAUAAUCGACUCCCAAACCCUGACUUGGUUGCUACGACCAAUAUCAUUGUCGUUCUUUAUUGAGUUUUAUCGAUAUUUCCCAUUUCCUUUUUAGGAAUAGAUAAAGUUCGGUGGCGACUCUAUCCAGUCUACCCCGCGAGCGUGCGAUUACGCUUCACUAAGUCGUGUUCUCAUUUUUCGAGGUACGACAGGGGUGAGUUAAUAUUUUUGACCCGUCGAAACCUAAAUGAAACAUGCAUGUCUAUUUUCACCUAUAACUAUAGGAAAACGCGGUUUGGUAUGAAGCACAAACAAACGAAACACAAGAAUUACUAAGAGUGACAAAUGAGUAUGCCUGCUCCGUUUAGGACUACCAUGCAAAAGCUCGUAAUAAAAUGGGGUAAGAGGCAUGCAUAAUUGAGGGUGCGAGUCUAAAACCUUAAUUUUUCCCACACUAAAGUGAAGGUGGGGCGGGUCCGCGAACAUUGAUCUUUUUAAGCUUAAAAAUGUAUAAAAUUAUGUUAAUUCACGUAUCUACAAAAGCCCCAAAAAAACGGGGUAAAGCGGGACGAUCACACUAGAGGGUGACGACAUAAACCCUUGGUCUGUUCUGCACUAAAGUAUGGGCAAAGCGGACAUGCCUAUGGUAUCUACCUGUUUUGAGACCCCUAAGAAUUACACCAACCAUACCUAUGUUUUUGUCAACAAUAACUAUUACAAUCCUGUUAAACCAGCUCAGUUGAUAGCUGUGUAGGGACAUCAAUUGCAGAAGUGUGGAUUCGAACUAUGAUAUCCUAUUUUGUUUAUCUAAUAAAAGGUUAAUUCUAGUCACUAGGUCACUAUUAUAUUUUUAGCAUUUCUAUUUAGUAUGAUGAUUUAUCUUCUUGAAAUUUGUGAAUCAUGAUGUGUAUUACAUUAAAUGGAUGUAUCUUCAGGCUUUUAUGGAAUACAUGGGUGUCACACCGCAAAAAAUACAGAGUCGCCACCUGAUUUUAUUUAUUUCAAAGGAAAGGGAAAAUAUCGAUAAAACCCUAUAAGAAUGGUCUUCGCAACCAAGAGCGGAUUUGGAAGUUAGUUAUGCAAGGGGAAGAUAUUAUCACCCCUCACACCCGUUGUACUCAUCGAGAACCAUCAUGCUUGUUCCGUGCGUAUGGAUAUUGUUAUCUGAAGGUUACUUACUAUCGAUUAAUGAAGAGAAAUUAGUGAAAAAAUAAAAUAGUUAUUAAUGUGCUCGCCAAGGUUUCGAACCCUUGUGCCUACGUAUCCUCAUUCGUGUAAUAAGGAAGUCAAAACUCCGUAGUUCUGAUCAUAAAAAAGAGUAUUUGUUGUUUGUUUUUAGUGGGAAAUGUUAACGUUCAUGUUCUAGCGGUUAACUUUGCUUAUAUGCUCACGUCAUGAGAGGUUUAAGUUUUGUUUGUUUGCAGUAGAAUGGAUGCGCUUGGAUCAUAUUCUAGCAGUUAAACAUUAUUUGUAUGCUCGCGUAUGAGAGACUUAAGCUUCGUUCACGGUAGAAAAAAAGUAACAUGCCCUUUCUGAAAAGGUUUGAACAAGAGAUGAUGCCCAAAGGCAUAAAAUGGAUUUGAUUGGUUAUGUUUAAUUUUAGUAUGGAGACAAGUAUCAGACCACAAGCUAGGUACGACCGACAAUCUGAAUUCUUGGGAGUUGAGAGGAUAAUUUCAUCCUAACCCCUCAUUUUCAUCCAAAGGAAUUUUGAUUGUGAAAUGGUUUGGCGAGCUUAAUCAUCGGUACUUAGAGGCAGACAAGUAUCUAACCCCUGGCUAAGUACAACCAAUAAUCAGAAUACUCGGGAGUUGAAGGGACAAUGGCAUCCUAAUCACACCUUUUCUCUCUCGGAGCACCAGAUUGAACUCAUUUUAUUGUUAAGUAUUUUGAAUAGAAGUCAAGUAAUCGGGCCACAAGCUAGGUACAAUCGACAAUCGAAGUACUUAAGUGUUGUGCAAAAGCACAUACACCCCAUUUUUGCAUUCCAGUUUAUUAAGAAAAGAUUUUGAAAAGGCACUUGACGUUGGAUCAAGCAUUUGGAAUUUUUUGAAAUAAUGUGUGAAGAAUGAGAUAGAGGUAGAGAUAGAGAUAUGUUAAGAAGUAAAAUGGAAGAAUAGAAUGGAUAAUGGUGAUGAGAUACUUGGCAUUGGAUCAAACACUCACAUUACUUUGAAGUGAGUUUGAUUUGGAAAGCACUUGACGUUGGAUCAAGUGUGCUUUUUAUCUUUUGAAAAAUGUAUUUAUAUCAUUUGAUUUUAUCUUUCUAGUUAGCAUGCAUUGAAAGCAUUAAAGGAAAGAUAAACCUAAACUAUUACAAUUUCAUGGGAAGGGGGUAACAUAUGCCCCACAAUGGGGGGAUGAUACCAAACAAUACAAGGGAUGGAAAUGGGAUCAAUACAAGUUACACACUAAGUACCAUGCCUAAAACAAUCAAGUGGCAUGAUGUCCCUAAAUAAACAAUAUAAUGAAAAUGAUAAGUGUAAGCAAUUGUGAUGAUGGGACCACAAUAUGGAUUAAUCUUGAAGUCGCAUGGUCUAAGUAAACACACAAGGAAAAAUGAAGUUAGUAUGGAGUCAAAGUUGAAUGGAAACAUGCAUCAAAGUUCAACCACAUUCAAUGACGAUUUUCAAUCUAAAGGAGAAUGAAUCAAACAUGGAUAAAUAAUAAGGAUUAAUCACAUGAACAUGGUGAGACAUGAUAUCUAAAUAAGGCAUAGUAUCAAAGCAAAUUAAAAUGGAAUUUUCAAUUUAAUAAGAAAAUCACAAUCUAAUGGACAAUUUGAAUGGAAUUAACCUAAUGAUAAAAAUCAUUAUGCAUAGCAUACAAUCAAUGGAUCCAAAAUAACAAGGUGAUUUAAUCAUGAAUCAUCUAACAAUUCCACAAUUUAAACCUAACCUAAUAUCUAAGCUAAGCACAUUGAUUAACAUGGUGAUUAAAUGGAAAUUAAAAUCAUGGUCAAAAACAAUAUUAAGAACCCUAAUAACAUUAACCAUGGCCAAAUUAAACAAAUUUUAGAUCACAAAAAAAAUUAAAAUAUAGUAAAAAAUAUAUUAGAAAAUAAUAUGGAAAAAUAUGAGAAAAAAGAAUGGCAAAAAAAUGUAAAAAUGAAUAACAAAAAAGGGUUGGAAUUGUAGACACGGGUGUAAUAAGGAGAUCCAGCGCAUGCCUAACAUGAGGCCCACCGCCAAUUAGCCAUUGGAAACCAGGGGAUUCAUGAGUAAAACAAGGUGAUGUUCAACAAAGUGAUGAUAAUCCCAUACCAAGUAGGCCCAAAAUGUGACAAAGCAAUAUCAAACAAUCACUCAACAUUCCAGUUCCAAUGAAAAUGAUAUUCAAAUUAAAAUGAAAAAAUAAUGCGCCAACUGAAAUUGAAACAUUCAAACACUCAUAUCAAGAAACCACCAACAACCACAACACUAGAGGUUGCCUCCGACAACGGUGGUGCACCAAGGAUCAAAUAAAGACCACCAUCUUAUGCACAAUGACUCACUGGUGAAAAAUAUGGGGAUGAUUUCACGAAAAUCUCACUCAAAAGCUCAAAUCGAAGGCAACGACAUCAAGAACCCUAGAAGUUCUAGGUUAGAUUAAAUGAAAACUAUGAGGAAUCAAGGCCUAGGAUGUUAGGGCUUUGAUUCCUCUUGAAAACCCCUACAUCUCGAUAACCAGGAAAUGAAGAAAUAAUGGAGGUUUGGGAUUACCUCGCCGGAAAAGACGCUCAGAAAAAUGUCUCAAGUAAGUUCUUCCUCUUCCUUUCUCCGCUCUGUCUUGCUGCGAAACCUCUUAUUCUACUUCUUCCUUUCUUGAAUUCGUGAGUGAGAAUGAAUGUUGAGAGAGCUGAAUCGAGGAAAAAUGUUGAGCUGGUGAGGAUCUGUGAUGAUGAAUGAGGGAGGUUGAUGAUGAUCGAACUCCGGGAUUGAAGAUUAUGUAAAUGUGUGAACUCUGAGAGUAUUGAAAUUCUGAGAUGAAUAAGUGAUUGGAGAGAUUCAUGAUUUGAGAGAAGUGAUUAUGAUAUGAAAUGAAUAGUUAGUUCAAUGAUUAGGGAAUGAUAGAUUAUAUAGUUGGUUAAGCCUUGGGAUUUGUGAGAAUCAAUUAGGUUCAGUUGAACUGAAAUUGUUGAAUUCGAGGGUGAGUUUGUUAUUUUCUGUUUUGGUGAUUUGCUGAUGUCGAGGCAAAGUUAACUAGAAUGUUAGUUAGGUGAUGUAACAAUGAUAGUUAGUUGAGGUUCAAUUAGUUGGUAAUGUUAGGUUAGCUGAAAUGUUCAAUGUUAGGGUUAAUUCAAUUUGAAAGUGAUGAUGUGGUUGCAGGCUUGGCUCGAUUUUCUGUCUUGCCAUGAUUAAUGUGCUUGCAAUGUAUUGUUCAAUGUAUGCUAAUGAAAUGGUUGGAAAUGGCCAAGAGUUGUUGAUGCAGAUGCUUGAUUGAUGUGUAAUAUUUAUUGCAGGUUUGUGCUCAACUUGGUGCAGGGUCAUGAUGCAAGGCCUACUAAGUUGGUUUGCAAUGUUGUCUACUGUUUGCCUUGCCUUGCUACAGGUUUGAUGUGUUGUUGCAACUAUAUGGGUGUUAGGUCUGUUUUAGGCUCAUGAACUUGUAUGUGUUGGUCUUGCAACAUGUUUUACUUUUGUGUACAUGUCCUGACUUGGAUGAACAUUCUGGUCUGUUGGUAUGUAUAUGCUAGGUUGGUGUUUGGUAGGCCCUUGGUUGAUUGAACAUGGUUGCUUGGAUGUAUGCUUUGGUCAUGCUUAUAUAUAUGCAAUGUUUGGAAAUGUUGGUUAUGGUUGCUAGGAUGGAUUGUUUUAGUCAUGGUUUAGGUUGUGUCUGAAAGUGAUAAUGUGUUUUUUCAUUUGGUUAUGUGCAUGCUUACUUGGACUUGUAACAUUGCUUGGAUGGUUUCCAUUUUGUAGGAUGACAUGCACAUGGUGACUUGUAAAUGAAGAAACCAUGCUAGAAAAAAGCAAACAUGGAUUUGGAUGGUGAAUCAAGGAAAAUUGGAUUAGGUUAGGUCUUAGGGUGGUAAAGGGGGGUCAAUUGAGUUUGCUCAACGGGUUGACCAAAAAGUCAACUGUUGACCAAAAGUCAAUUGUUAUAAAAAAUAGUCAAACUUGUAAUUUUUUUGUAUGUAUGGACUUUGAAUAAUCAAUGUAUAAAUGAAAUUUGAUAUUUGGUAUUUGUUUAUGAAUGAAUGGAUUUGAAUGAUAUUGUAUGGAAAUGACUUGAAUUGAAUGUAUGGAAAUGAAUUGUAUGGAAACAUGGACUAAUAGAAAUGAAAUAAAUUGUAUGAAAAUCCAAUGAUACAAGUGUAAGACCUAAGAACCCUAACACCUUGAAUGGACAGUGAAGUGAAUGUGUAUGUUAGAACUUGAAUGAACCAAAGACUAUGGUAUAAACCACCAUGUCACAAAUGAUCAAUGAAUCAAGGACACUAGUAUGACCCAAAGGUAAUGAGACUUGGAUGAAACAUCAAGGACCACAUGGACAACUAUGAGUGAACCAACCAACAACUAGCAAUGACCAGAUGAAAUGAUAAGAUGAAAUGACCAUGGAUGAAAUAAGUGGAAGUUAUGGUGCCAUGAGAAUGGGCUUGGGACCAAAGGAUAACCUUAGGCAAUAGAUGAACAUGUAAUGACUUUAAAUGAACUCAAUUCAACAAAUGAAACCUCAUAACGAACAAAGAACCAGUGACUUUGAAUGGAGUUUGACCAAGCAAGAGAACAUACACAAAUGAAUGAUAGUGAACCAGAUGAAAUUAGGGUUAGAUGCACAUCCUAUGAAGGAUAGCCACAAUUAGUGUUUAACUUCACCAAGAAGAUACACAUGAAACUUCAAAGCAAAACACACACAAGGAUCAAAGGGACAACAAAUUAGGGUUUAACUUGGUUGAGCAACCUCAAGUUGCUAGAAAACCCUAGCUUUUACUAGGUACACACAACUAUGCCUUGAAUCCAAGGUACCUACCCUCUUGUCUUGAACAAUGCCUAUGCAAGUAAAAUGAUUGAACCUGGAGAUAUGCAUGUGAAUUAGGGUUAAAGAUCUAUGUGAACGUUGUGAAGGAUAGAGUAAAUUUUAGAGUUAAGGACCUAGGUGAACAAGUGCAGAAAUGUGGGUUCGAACUACGACAUCCCAUUUUAUUUACUUUUAAAAGAUGAAUUCUAACCACUAGAUCAUUAUUAAAAUUUUUAGCAUUGUUAUUUGGUACGAAGAUUUAUCUUCGUGAAAUUUGUGAAUCAUGAUGUGUAUUAACAUUGAAUGGAUGUAUCUUCAAGCUUUUAUGGAAUACAUGGGUAUUAGUGUUAUAAAAAGAGGUCAAAGUAAUGCCACAUCUCAUUCCUUUUGUUAUCUAAAACAUUUUUCUUAGGAUAAUGCUAACUUGUGCCCUAAGAACACAUGUUAAGAAGUAAUAUAAAAAUAUUUUCUUGAAAUUUAUAUAUCAUUUUUAUUUAAAUUUUAUAAUUAAUGUUUUUAUUACUUUUUUUCAAUAUAAAUUUUCUAUUUAUGAAUCGUUUAAGAUUUUCGGGUACUGUCGGGUACUUCUUUUCUUCUUAAUAGUUACUUUCCCUAUGGUACAAUUCUGUUUCUUACGGAAUAGCAUAACUCCUAAUUAUAGUAUAUUUGACCUUUGAAAAAGAAAGAACUUAUUCCUGCGGAUGCAUUAGGGACAAAAACGAGAAGUACUACCUACCCACAUAAAAUUCAAAUCAUCUGAGUUUGCAUAGAUGCACAUAACACUAGCACUUAGAGUAAACUACAUGUUAAGAACAACAACUCAUCAUUCUCAUUUCAUCAAUUUCCAAUUCUUCCACCAAUUUCCCAAACUCAUUCACUCCAACAACCAACCUAAUAAUGCCACUAACCACCUCCCAUUUGAAACCUUUACAACCAAUUCAAAUUCACUCAUUUCCAUUUACUCCCGCCAAGGCUUAUUCCAGAAAGUUCUCCAAACUUACACCUUAUUAAUAAACUCAUCUCAACAACCAAACCAAUCAACAUUCUCAACCACUUUAUCAUCGUGUACAAAGCUCGAAAGCCUCGAGUUCGGUAAGUUAGUUCACACCUCUAUAAUUAAAAAAGGAUUCGAAUCCGAUUCGUUAAUCCAUCGGAGCCUCGUUCAUUUCUAUACGAAAUGCAAGUGUUUGAGUUCGGCUCGGACAUUGUUCGGUUCGGCAUUGGAAUCAGAUUUGUUGUUGCCUCUCGAUGUAUCUUCGUUGACGGCUUUGAUUGGUGGUUAUGCGAAUGUUGGUCUGUAUGAAGAAGCACUCCACGUGUUUGAUGAAAUGCGGAGUGGUUUUGUUUUGGAUGAAUUGGCGUUUGUGACUGUUUUGAAUGCUUGUGUGAGUUCCGGGAAGUUGGAUUACGCGCGUGAGUUGUUUGAUGAGAUGGAGAUGGGUGGUUGUGAUAAUGUUGUUGUGUGGAAUGUUAUGAUUUCUGGUCAUGGGAAGAGGGGUUAUUAUAAGGAGGCGGUUGGGUUUUAUCGGGAAAUGAGGAAGAAUGGUGUGGAGUCGUCGAGGUCUACGCUUGCGAGUGUUUUGAGUGCGAUUGCUGGGUUGGGUGAGUUUGAUUAUGGUUUGUUGGUUCAUGGAGAGGCUGUUAAGCUAGGUUUUGAGUCGAGUGUUUAUGUGGUGAGUUCUUUGGUUAAUAUGUAUGGGAAGUGUGGAAUGUUGUGUGAUGCGAAGAAAGUGUUUGAUGUUGUGUGUGAAAGAAACGUUGUUACGUGGAAUACGAUUCUUGGAGUUUACGCGCAGAAUGGUUGUUUAAGUGGUGUUAUGGAGUUGUUUUCUGAAAUGAUGGGGUCUGGAAUUGAUCCGGAUGAGUUUACGUACUCUAGCAUUUUGAGUUCGUGUGCUUGCUUUGAAUUCUUAGAUAUCGGGCGGCAGUUGCAUUCGACUAUUAUCAAGAAAAGGUUUACUGAUAAUUUAUGUGUGAAUAAUGCAUUGGUAGAUAUGUAUGGUAAGGCUGGAGCUUUGAUGGAAGCUAGAAAACAAUUUGAGCAGAUGAAAUAUCGAGAUAAUAUUUCUUGGAAUGCUAUUCUUGUUGGAUACGUGCAAGAAGAAGAGGAAACUAAUGCUUUCAACAUGUUUCGGAGGAUGAAUCGAUUUGGCGUUGUACCAGACGAGGUAUCUAUGGCUAGUAUUCUUAGUGCUUGUGGAAAUAUUAAGGCACUAGAAGCAGGACUACAGUUUCAUUGCUUUUCAGUUAAGUUGGGUUUAGAGACGAACCUUUUUGCUGGAAGCUCUCUUAUUGACAUGUAUUCCAAAUGCGGAGGAAUCAAAGAUGCACGUAAAGUUUAUUCUACCAUGCCCGAGUGGAGCGUGGUUUCCAUGAAUGCCCUGAUCGCAGGAUAUGCUCUAAAAGAUGCAAAAGAAGCAAUUAAUCUUUUGCAUGAGAUGCAGAUGUUGGGAUUAAAUCCAUCUGAAAUCACAUUUGCCUCACUCAUAGAUUGUUGUAAAGAACCUCCUAUGGUAUUUUUAGGGAUGCAGCUCCAUUGUGCUAUAUUAAAGAAGGGUCUUUUAUGUGGUAGUGAAUUCUUAGGUACCCCUUUGUUGGGGAUGUAUAUGGACUCACAGAGGAUGGAAGACGCAAACGUUCUUUUCUCCGAGUUAUCUAACCUUAAAAGCAUUGUACUGUGGACAACCUUAAUUUCUGGACAUAUUCAAAAUGAUUGCAGUGAUGAGGCCUUAAAACUGUACCGUGAAAUGCGAAACAACAAUAUCUUACCAGACCAAGCAACAUUUGUAACUGUUCUGCGAGCUUGUGCGCUCUUAUCCUCACUGCAAGACGGUAAAGAGAUGCAUUCUCUAAUCUUUCAUACUGGUUUUGACCUAGAUGAAUUAACUAGCAGUGCCCUCGUAGAUAUGUAUGCUAAAUGUGGAGAUGUAGAAAGUGCUGCAAAAGUUUUUGAUGAACUGGCGAUAAAAAAGGACGCGAUUUCUUGGAAUUCAAUGAUUGUUGGGUUUGCUAAAAAUGGUUAUGCAGAUAGGGCACUGAGGGUCUUUGAUCAGAUGGCUCAAUCAAAUGUUUCACCAGAUGAUGUCACAUUCCUUGGAGUGCUCACUGCCUGUAGUCAUGCCGGGUUGGUUUCUGAUGGUCGUCGGAUUUUCGACAACAUGGUAAACUAUUAUGGAAUUUGUCCGAGAGUAGAUCACUACGCUUGCAUGGUUGAUCUACUUGGCCGAUGGGGUUUUCUUGAAGAAGCUGAAGGGUUUAUUGGCAAACUAGAUGUUGAACCUAAUGCAAUGAUUUGGGCUAACUUAUUGGGUGCUUGCAGAAUACACGGGGAUGAAAAAAGGGGACAGAAAGCAGCCGAGAAACUUAUCGAAUUAGAACCACAAAAUUCUUCUCCGUAUGUACUACUUUCUAAUAUGUAUGCUGCAUCAGGACAUUGGGAUGAAGCUAGAUCUUUGAGGAGAACAAUGAUACAGAGAGAAAUCCAAAAGAUGCCCGGGUGUAGCUGGAUUGUUCUGGGGCAGAUAACAAACUCAUUUGUUGCGGGUGAUUUAUCACACCCUAGUUCUGAUGAAAUUUCACAUGUUUUGAAGCAUCUGACAGCACUCAUGAGAGACAAUAGAUUGCAGGAAGAUGGACUUUCCCAUUCUGGGCAAGUUUGUUGAUCAAAAUAAUGGGAAAAGAAAAAGAUGGAAAUAACUUAUCCUUUAUUUUAUUUUUAAAAUGUUUCAUAUUGUUUUUGGAAAGAGAUAGAAAGGAAAUGAUAAUUCGCAAAGGUCGGAUAAAAUGUAUUCUUAUUAUCUUUUUGUAAAUUGGUAGAAAUAAUAUUUGCAUUCUGUGAUGCAUGAGUAAUGACUUAUCGCUGUUCGGAUGUUUAUUGCUGUGAACUAGAUAUUAUAGAACUGAAAACUGCAGAAAGACCAAAAGACGGCUCUCAUAUGGCAUUGAUAUUCCUAGUAGAAUAUAAACUGCUGCUGUUGCAGAAUGCAUUAUAAAAUUUACAUCUACUAUUCAGAAAACAAAGUUGCACUCUCCAUCUCUUACAUGCUUCCAUACUUCCCCUUUUCUUUGUUCUUAUUUGAACAGGAGAUUCAGUUUCAGCUUUGCUUGGACUGGUUUCUUUCAGGCUCAUAAGGUUAGCUGCUUUACAUUUUUUAUUUUUUAUGAUUUGUUGAUAUGAAUCAAUGAUAUUAAUUAUGAAAUAUCUUUGAAGCUUUACAUGUUAGUUUUCAUCUUAGUUGAAUCAUAUCAUAAUGAUGCAAUUUAUAGGGAUAGGUCCAUUGGAUUUUUUUUUCUAUCACUAGAAAUCAAAGUUGGCACCUCAGAAUUUACAAGCCUCACAAACUUUACAAUGACAAUACACACCAACACUUGCACUAGACCGAGAGCACUUGUUCUGACAACUUAGUGUAUGAAAGAUGAAAUAGAUUUUAUUUUUUACUAGGAGUUAACCAUUAGUUAGUAUUACAAAACAAAUGUUUAUAGUUAGUUAUAUACAUAUAUGCGAACACUUAAUUUAAAUAAAACUUUAAACUUU
rnacentral:lncRNA from 1 species